UGAGUAAUGCAUGAGCAACCUACCUCUUACAGCGGGAUAACACCGGGAAACUGGUGCUAAUACCGCAUAAGACCCCAGCUCCGCAUGGAGCAGUGGUCAAAACGGUCUAACAAGGCUUUAGUGGUAAGAGAUGGGCUCAUGUCCCAUUAGCUUGUUGGUGAGAUAACAGCCCACCAAGGCGACGAUGGGUAGCCGACUUGAGAGAGUGAUCGGCCACACUGGAACUGAGACACGGUCCAGACUCCUACGGGAGGCAGCAGUAGGGAAUAUUGGGCAAUGGGCGAAAGCCUUACCCAGCAAUGCCGCGUGAGUGAAGAAGGUCUUCGGAUUGUAAAGCUCUUUGAUUGGGGACGAACAUAAUGACGGUACCCAAAGAACAAGCCCCGGCUAACUACGUGCCAGCAGCCGCGGUAAUACGUAGGGGGCAAGCGUUGUCCGGAAUGACUGGGCGUAAAGGGUGUGUAGGCGGGCCAGUAAGUUAGAUGUGUA
rnacentral:rRNA from 1 species